rnacentral:rRNA from 1 species
AGGCCUUCGGGUCGUAAAGUUCUGUUGUUAGAGAAGAACAAGUACGAGAGUAACUGCUCGUACCUUGACGGUACCUAACCAGAAAGCCACGGCUAACUACGUGCCAGCAGCCGCGGUAAUACGUAGGUGGCAAGCGUUGUCCGGAAUUAUUGGGCGUAAAGCGCGCGCAGGCGGUUCCUUAAGUCUGAUGUGAAAGCCCACGGCUCAACCGUGGAGGGUCAUUGGAAACUGGGGAACUUGAGUGCAGAAGAGGAAAGCGGAAUUCCACGUGUAGCGGUGAAAUGCGUAGAGAUGUGGAGGAACACCAGUGGCGAAGGCGACUCUCUGGUCUGUAACUGACGCUGAGGCGCGAAAGCGUGGGGAGCGAACAGGAUUAGAUACCCUGGUAGUCCACGCCGUAAACGAUGAGUGCUAAGUGUUAGAGGGUUUCCGCCCUUUAGUGCUGCAGCUAACGCAUUAAGCACUCCGCCUGGGGAGUACGGUCGCAAGACUGAAACUCAAAGGAAUUGACGGGGGCCCGCACAAGCGGUGGAGCAUGUGGUUUAAUUCGAAGCAACGCGAAGAACCUUACCAGGUCUUGACAUCCUUUGCCACUUCUAGAGAUAGAAGGUUCCCCUUCGGGGGACAAAGUGACAGGUGGUGCAUGGUUGUCGUCAGCUCGUGUCGUGAGAUGUUGGGUUAAGUCCCGCAACGAGCGCAACCCUUGAUCUUAGUUGCCAG